UACGAAGGUUGCAAGCGUUACUCGGAAUUACUAGGCGUAAAGGGCAGGUAGGUGGUUUGGUAAGUCUAUUGUGAAAGCUCCCGGCUUAACUGGGAGAGGCCAAUGGAUACUGCCAAGCUUGAGUACGGUAGGGGCAGAGGGAAUUUCCGGUGGAGCGGUGAAAUGCGUAGAGAUUGGAAAGAACACCAACGGCGAAAGCACUCUGCUGGGCCGACACUGACACUGAGAGACGAAAGCUAGGGGAGCGAAUGGG
rnacentral:rRNA from 1 species